AUUGAACGCUGGCGGCAGGCUUUACACAUGCAAGUCGAGCGGAGAUGAGGUGCUUGCACCUUAUCUUAGCGGCGGACGGGUGAGUAAUGCUUAGGAAUCUGCCUAUUAGUGGGGGACAACAUUCCGAAAGGAAUGCUAAUACCGCAUACGUCCUACGGGAGAAAGCAGGGGAUCUUCGGACCUUGCGCUAAUAGAUGAGCCUAAGUCGGAUUAGCUAGUUGGUGGGGUAAAGGCCUACCAAGGCGACGAUCUGUAGCGGGUCUGAGAGGAUGAUCCGCCACACUGGGACUGAGAUACGGCCCAGACUCCUACGGGAGGCAGCAGUGGGGAAUAUUGGACAAUGGGGGGAACCCUGAUCCAGCCAUGCCGCGUGUGUGAAGAAGGCCUUAUGGUUGUAAAGCACUUUAAGCGAGGAGGAGGCUACUGAGACUAAUACUCUUGGAUAGUGGACGUUACUCGCAGAAUAAGCACCGGCUAACUCUGUGCCAGCCGCCGCGGUAA
rnacentral:rRNA from 1 species